CUUAAUUGUUUGCUUCAAGAGAAGGAGAAAGAUCAGUGGGUUGUUGCUUUUUAUUUUGGAGCAUAUAUACGACUAUAUAUUGCUUCUACUACAACUUUCUUUUCGUCUCGUAUCUUUCUUUCUUACUUGAUUUCUACAUGCAUCCAUCAUCCGUGUAUUUGCUUUUCUGCUAAUCUCUCAUUUCUCUCUGAGCUUUUUUAAAAGAAAAGAAUACACCUUUAUUUUUAUUUUGUUUUCUACAGGGGCUUAUGCUUUAAAUUAACUUCUUUAUUCACAGUCAUCGAGUAUAGGAGUACACUUUCUAGUUAUUAAGAAGCAUCACUAGUUAUUAAGGAGACUCCUGUUCUAGUUCAAGACUCAGCAAAGAUUAAAGAAGCACCACCAGGUUCUUUCUCUUUUUCUCCUAUUAAACUUGCAGCCCCAAAUCGAAAGUCACUGGAACUAGACCAGAUGUUGAGAAUUUGAUACUUGAGAAACAGAUGAAAAAUG